rnacentral:rRNA from 1 species
UAGGGAAUCUUCCACAAUGGACGCAAGUCUGAUGGAGCAACGCCGCGUGAGUGAAGAAGGUUUUUCGGACCGUAAAGCUCUGUUGUUGGUGAAGAAGGAUAGAGGUAGUAAACUGGCCUUUAUUUGACGGUAAUCAACCAGAAAGUCACGGCUAACUACGUGCCAGCAGCCGCGGUAAUACGUAGGUGGCAAGCGUUGUCCGGAUUUAUUGGGCGUAAAGCGAGCGCAGGCGGAAGAAUAAGUCUGAUGUGAAAGCCCUCGGCUUAACCGAGGAAUUGCAUCGGAAACU